UCCUCUGCAGACAUCUAUCUCAGCCUGGC
rnacentral:piRNA from 1 species